AUGCAUGUCUCAGUACAGACCGAUAAAAGGUGAAACCGCGAAUGGCUCAUUAAAUCAGUCGUAAUCCACGGGAGUUUGACCCAGUCUUACUUGGAUAACCGUGGUAAUUCUAGGGCUAAUACACGCAACUGAGCUCCGACCCUGCUUCGGUGGGGGUAAGGGCGCCUUUAUUAGUACGCAAAUCGAUCCAUUCCUCUUUUGGUUGGAUGGUUGUGAUGACCCUGGAUAACCUAGCCGAGCGCUCAGGUCCUCGUGACCCGCGCCGCAUCCUUCGAGCGACUGCCUUAUCAGCUAUAUCGUAGGGUAUUGGCCUACGAUGGCUGUGACGGGUAACGGGGAAUCAGGGUUCGAUUCCGGAGAGGGAGCCCGAGAAACGGCUACCACAUCUAAGGAAGGCAGCAGGCACGCAAAUUACCCACUCCCAGUUCGGGGAGGUAGUGACGAAAAAUACUGAUGCGGGACUCGUUCCGAGGCCUCGCCAUCAGAUUGAGCUCAGUCUAAACCAUUGGACAAGUUUCGACUGGAGGGCAAGUCUGGUGCCAGCAGCCGCGGUAAUUCCAGCUCCAGUAGCGUAUGCUAAAGUUGCUGCGGUUAAAAAGCUCAUAGUUGGAUCUCACGGCCGGAACGGCGGCCCACUAAAGGUUUCGACCAGCGCCGAGGCUAGUCGGUGUACUCGUUACGCUUGGCUUCCGCGGUUUGCUUGCGUCUGCCUGGUGGUCAACUGUCCGUCUCCGGCUCGAGACUCCCGCUGGUUCGCGAGGGAUGCCUUGUCUUGUACGGGUGUCCCGAGUGACCGGCACGUUCACUUUGAAUAAAUUAGAGUGCUC
rnacentral:rRNA from 1 species